AGGAUUUCAAUUUUGUAUGCCUAUUAAGCUAAGUUACAGUUUGUCCACAAGGACUCAAAUAUAGAAGCACGAAGUCCUUCUCAGGCCAUAUUUAGUUUGCUUUAACAGUCUAAUGCCCUCCCUGUUAGAAUUUUUGUUAAAAACAAUUAUUCUCUGCUUUUGGUCAGCCUCUUAUGAGAGACUGAACAAUACUUAGGCAUAGGCACCCCUCCCUGUCACCAUCACAGGUAAGUUGUCUUUGUCUCUGUGGAACUCACAAGUCAUGAUGUUAGGCUCAUUGAAGAAAGAUUCCCUUUGUUGUUCACAUCAUUAUUGUCACUCUGAUCAAGGUGAGAGCAUCUAAUGUACCACUGAUGGCUGAGAGCAUGCAUUUAAGACUCUUGACAGAAUACAGCAAACAGGGUGAUUACAAUGAUGACCAUCAGGAGGAUAAUACCAAGAGACUAGAGUAUGCUCCUUAGCCAAGGUCCUCAUGAAUCAAACCAGCUAAAAUUGAAUAAAUCAAGGAAUGAACCAGAGGGGGAUUCAACUUGUUUUAACCAGGUGGCCUGUUUGUUAAUUUCUUGUGAUUGAGUUUCUAAUACAAGAGGUAUUUAUCCAGGCACAACAGGAGGAAUAGGAUAAAAUGAGCAUAUUGCAUAGACUCUUCCUUGUUCAGCCAAUAGUCCAAUGCAAGUCUAUUAUCUAAAACUACUCAAGUAAGGGAAUUUAGAGAUUUUUGUUGGAUAGCUAUAGCCUUAGCUGUAGAACCCGCAAUAGUAACUAAUGUCAAAGAAAAAUUUUUGACCUUUAUUUCAUUUGUAGUCAUCCCAAGCCAUGGAAAAAUGGACCUAACAUAUGAUGCCCCCUUGGCAGGGUUGUCAUCUGCUGGUCAGUUUCUUUUUAAUCUAUGAUGCAGGUUUAGAGGGGUGUACUGAUGUUUAGCUUCUGACUGGUUAUGUAGUGACAAUGGCACCAUUAAAAUCCCUAGUCCCCAUUGGUCUUUCAUUCUCCAUCUGUCAAGGUAUGGGGUGGUCCAAGCAUAUGGCUGACAGUUAAAUUCUCUGCUUAUAAAGAUGUACCUAGGACAUUCCUGAAAGCCUGGUUGUGGGGUGGCGGAGGGCAGUGGUAGGAAGGAUGUACCUAGGGUGAACAAGCCUCCUCCUUGGGAGACUUCAGUUAUGGAGUAAUUAGUUGGCAUCAGCAGUUUCUAACCAAGAGACUGAUACUGAGUUAUUACGUCCUAGAAGGCUACCAAAAUACGUAUGUAGAUAGGCAUUCUUGUAAAUAGCUCUGUUAAUGUUCUCCUUUUUUGUGCAUAGCCUCCUUGCAAUAUGGUCAGCAGACCUGGCCAUCCUAUUCUAUGGUUGGGUUAAACAAGAAGUAAGAAUAAAGGGGUCUAGAAGUUUAACUCUAUAAAGGGACCAACAGUAUAAUCUAAACAGAUUGUUGCAUUUGAGAUUCUGGCAAAUUGAGUCACAAGAUAUACUAAUGGGUCUCUAAAAAGCCAUGCAAGUAUUUUGACUUAGCAUGGAAAAUCCAGAAUUUAGCUAAAUUUUCUGCAGAAGCUAUAGACUGUGAGAUUCUAAUUAUGGCAUUAUCGUGCCAUACACAGAAAGGAAGAGUAAGAAACAGGAGAUGAAAAGAACAGGGGUUCCAUGAUAGGAAGAGGAGGUACUUUUUUUUUUUUUUUUUUGAGAUGGAGUCUUGCUCUGUCACCCAGGCUGGAUUGCAGUGAGCUGAGGUCGCGGCACUGCACUCCAGCCUGGGCAACAGAGCGAGACUCCGUCUA
rnacentral:lncRNA from 1 species